GAAUUUUAUAGAGGAAGUUCAGUUCAGUCAGAAUGGCAGCAUUCUCAUGGGUGUGUCCACCAAGUACAGUGGCAAGGGCAUAGACUUACUAAAUCAGUGAUCUUGGAUAAGUUACACAGUCUCUUUGAACUUCAGGUUUCUCAUUUCUAAAAACUGGUAUAAUAAACUGUCAUGAGUUAUUAGAAGUAAAAAACUUAUGUGCUUAAAAUGUCAAAUGUAUAGUGGAUACUCAGUAAACUCUAGUUCUCUUCUUCCCUUCCCUUGCAAUCCUAUAGAUCUCCCACUAUUGUUGUAUAGCAGAGCAGUCAAUCAAAUGUCACCUCAGAGCCAUCUGCAAUCAAGCCUGGAAAAACUACCUGUACAGAGAAACCAAAACUGACCCCCCGACAUGGUACUGUCCCUUGAGGAUGGACACCAAGCACCUGACAGCAAGGUGAUUCCAUCAGACGCCCCCUACUCGAAAAAAGUCCAUGAUUUAUCCUGACCAGGAUUGAUGGGUAAUUCAGAUAUGGGUUUGCCUUUCCUACCUACAGUGUCUCUGUAAGCACCACUAACUGACGGCUCACCAAUUGUCUAGUAUCUUUAUAUAGGAUCCUAACAAAUACCACC
rnacentral:lncRNA from 1 species